AUGAUUUGUUCAAUAGCCGCAGUACCCUGACUGUGCUAGGUAGCAUAAUCAAUUGGCUCAUAAUUGGAGUCUGGAAUGAAGGAAAGAUUAAGAAAUAACUGUCUCUAAGCAAUUAUCAAAAAUUAAUUAUAAAGUGCAAAUGCUUUUAAAUAAAUAUUAGACGAGAAGACCCUAGAAAUUUUUUGUUGGGUACAUGAACAUUUUGUUGGGGCGACAAAGUAACAAACUAUUAACUUACUUAUUUUGUUGAAGUAUAUAUACAGGAAGAAUAAAUUACUCUAGGGAUAACAGCAUAAUUUAAGCAAGUUUGUGACCUCGAUGAGGAUUAGGGAGAGUAUAGGUUAGAAGGUAUAUAC
rnacentral:rRNA from 1 species